rnacentral:rRNA from 1 species
AUUGAACGCUGGCGGCAGGCCUAACACAUGCAAGUCGAGCGGAUGAAGGGAGCUUGCUCCUGGAUUCAGCGGCGGACGGGUGAGUAAUGCCUAGGAAUCUGCCUGGUAGUGGGGGAUAACGUCCGGAAACGGGCGCUAAUACCGCAUACGUCCUGAGGGAGAAAGUGGGGGAUCUUCGGACCUCUCGCUAUCAGAUGAGCCUAGGUCGGAUUAGCUAGUUGGUGGGGUAAAGGCCUACCAAGGCGACGAUCCGUAACUGGUCUGAGAGGAUGAUCAGUCACACUGGAACUGAGACACGGUCCAGACUCCUACGGGAGGCAGCAGUGGGGAAUAUUGGACAAUGGGCGAAAGCCUGAUCCAGCCAUGCCGCGUGUGUGAAGAAGGUCUUCGGAUUGUAAAGCACUUUAAGUUGGGAGGAAGGGCAGUAAGUUAAUACCUUGCUGUUUUGACGGUACCAACAGAAUAAGCACCGGCUAACUUCGUG